rnacentral:lncRNA from 1 species
UGCUUUACAAGUUUUGGUAUUUUUCUGCUUUCUAAGAACGCUUGUGCUUUUGGUCUCAUGUAUUCUAGCCACCCUUCUAUAAUAUUAACCUGUUUAAAGAAGAAGGAAAAAAAGAAAAAGAAAGGAUAAUCAGUGCAUUGCAUAUUAUAAUUUUGGUCUGAAAUUAGGCAGUAGGUAUAAUACAGAAACUACAUUGCAGUUUGUGUUUGUAUUUGUGCUGAGAAAUUAAGAUAGGUUUAUUCCACUUACAAUAUGAUGAGCAAUGUCAAUGCAUCUUUCUUGUUUU